ensembl:lncRNA
GUCGGAGUGGAGUCAGAGUCAGAGUGGAGUCGGAGUGGAGUCGGAGUCAGAGUGGAGACAGAGUCAGAACGGAGACAGAGUCAGAGUGGAGUCAGAGUGGAGUCAGAGUCGGAGUGGAGUCAGAGACAGAGUGGAGACAGAGUCAGAGUGGAGACAGAGUCAGAGUGGAGUCAGAGUCGGAGUGGAGUCGGAGUCAGAGUGGAAUCAGAGUCAGAGUCAGAGUGGAGACAGAGUCAGAGUGGAAUCAGAGUCAGAGUGGAGACAGAGUGGAGUCAGAGUCGGAGUGGAGUCAGAGGAAAAGUGGAGUUGGAGUCAGAGUGGAAUCAGAGUCAGAUCAGAGUCGGAGUGGAGUCAGAGGAAAAGUGGAGUUGGAGUCAGAGUGGAAUCAGAGUCAGAGUGGAGUUGGAGUCAGAGUGGAAUCAGAGUCAGAGUGGAGUCAGAGUCAGAGUGGAGACAGAGUGGAGUCAGAGUCAGAGUGGAGUCAGAGUCUUAGUGGAGUUGGAGUCAGAGUGGAAUCAGAGUCGGAGACGGAGUCAGAGUGGAGUUGGAGUCAGAGUGGAAUCAGAGUCAGAGUCGGAGUGGAGUUGGAGUCAGAGUGGAGUCAGAAUCAGAGUGUAGUCAGAGUCGAGUCAGAGUGGAGUCAGAGUGGAGACAGAGUCGAGUCAGAGUGGAGACAGAGUCGAGUCAGUGUUGGAGCGGAGUCAGAGUCAGAGUCGGCGCGGAGUCAGAGUCGGAGUGGAGUCGGAGUCAGAGUGGAGUCUGAGUCGGAAUGGAGUUGGAGACAGAGUGGAGUCAGUGUGGAGUAAGAGACGGAGUGGAGUUGGAGUCAGAGUGGAAUUAGAGUCAGAGUGGAGUCAGAGUCGGAGUGGAGACGGAGUCAGAGUCAGAGUGGAGUCAGAGUCAGAGAGAAGACAGAGACAGAGUCAGAGUGGAGUCAGAGUCAGAGUGGAGUUGGAGUCAGAGUGGAAUCAGAGUCAGAGUCGGAGUGGAGUUGGAGUCAGAGUGGAGUCAGAGUCAGAGUGGAGUCAGAGUGGAGUCAGAGUGGAGACAGAGUCGAGUGGGAGUCGGAGCGGAGUCAGAGUCAGGGCGGAGUCGGAGUCAGAGUGGAAUCAGAGUCAGAGUCGGAGUGGAGUUGGAGUCAGAGUAGAGUCAGAGUCGGAAUGGAAGUGGAGUCAGAGUGGAAUCAGAGUUGGAAUCAGAGUCAGAGUCAGAGUGGAGUCAGACUCAGAGUGGAGUUGGAGUCAGAGUGGAAUCAGAGUCAGAGUCAGAGUGGAGACAGAGUCAGAGUGGAGUCAGAGUCAAAGUGGAGACAGAGUCGGAGUGGAGCCAGAGUGGAGUCAGAGUCAGAAUGAAGACAGAGACAGAGUCAGAGCGGAGUCAGAGUCGGAGUGGAGUUGGAGUGGAGUCAGAGUGGAGUCAGAGUCAGAGUGGAGUCGGAAUGGAGUUGGAGUCAGAGUGGAGUCAGAGUCGGAGUGGAGUCGGAGUCAGAGUGGUGUAAUUAGUAAUUUAUAUUUUGGGAAACAGACCCAAGUAAAUUAGUGAGAAAUAAUGGUCAUGAGAAACAAACAUAAAUAAUAACUGCUGCAACUGAUAAAAAAUCCAGUCCUGUGUGUCUCCAGCUCGAUGUGUUGAUUUUACAUUCUAUACACUAAUAAUAAACACUUUGUCCAGUUACAUAUGCAUGUGUUUUUGUGUAUGUGUAUGUGUAUGUGUGUGAGUCAGUGUUUAAAGACCAUUCUGAAUUAAACAGAAGAGACCGAGUGUGUUCUAGCGGUUUCUCUAGUGAGAAACUGUAUAUUUGUGAUAAGUGGAACAUCCAAGACAACAGCAGCGCGUCGAUAAAAACUUCACAGAGGAGACAGAGCUGAAGACAAACGUCCUCAGAGAGACAGUGUGUGUGUGUGUGUGUGUGUUGGAGAUCAAAGGUGUGGUGCAUCAUCCAGUUCAUAACGACUCAUCACACACUCGUCAGUGGCGUUAAAGUCAAUAACGAUAAUAAAUCUCAUUUUACACUUUACUCUGUGCUGUUUUCACAACCCACCAUGCUUUGCUUUCCUGAGCAGUAAAGAAGUGGCUGGAGUCAAGCGCCCCCUGGAGGUGUGUCUAUAACAUGACUGACAGCACGGACCUGUUUUUUUUUCUUUUUCUUUGACCUUUUUUUCUUCUUUCACUUGCUUUGGAUUCUACGUUUUUAACAGAUGUUUCUUUGUCAUCACCGAUAUUUAUUUAUUUGUAGUGGUAAGAACAAUUAAAAAAAAAAAAAUCCUCACUGCACCUUUCAGGUCGGACCAUUAUUCCAAACUAGAGACUUUUCUUUCAUUACUACUGAAUCUACUCGUUCUGGAAGCCAUAAUAAGAAACACGGGCCUGUAAUUCUUUUCUGUACACGCUGCACAGCUAACUCCUGAAACAAGAACACAUUGUUAUGCUAAUGACAGCGUUAGCUGCAGUGAGCUUAACACUAACACACACACAGAGUGUUUGAUCCCGUGUAACGAGCUGAAAUUUGUGUGUGUACCUGUGUAUCCAGCAUCAUCAUCAUCACCACCAUCCACAGCUCAUAUCUCCUUCUUCCUCCUCCUCCUCCUCUUGGUCAGUUCUCACGGUCUCGUAGGGUUUCAAUCCAACCCGUCCUCCAGCAGCACUCGGGAAAGCACGCACGCUCUCUGGAACGCACUCCGGAGUGUAACUAGGGGUCAUCAGAGGUCAUCCACUACAAACACAUCCAGCACAGUGAAUGUCCGAGGGGGAGAAAGUGCAAAAAUCCAGCACUGUUUAUUUCACCACCACCACCACCACCCCACCCCCCCUUUAACCCUGAGGAUGAUUAAACGAGACGAGGAUGAGGAAAACUGAGGAAGCACCGAGCUCCAGCUGCACUGGAUUCUGGAAAAGUGCUAAGUGGUUAAGGUUCUGUGCUAUUAAUCAGAAGGUUGUGUGUUCAAAACCCACCGCCAGAGAGCUCUUGCUGAGGAAGAACCCUCAUUCCUCAGGUGAUCAGUUGUGUGCUUUUUGUAAACGUCAGGAAGUCUCCACUGGUGCUGCACUGCUUAUUAAAGAAACCCUGAACGUCUCCAUUUAAUUCCAGCCAGCUCUGAGUUACCCUUUAAAGGAUGCACACGCUCCCACAGCAGCCCAUUCUCCUCAGCAGUGAUCUCAAUUACGGACCUGCUCUAAAAAAAAUUAUAAUAAUUAAAAACCCCAACAGAAACCUUUAAGGUGUCUCUUUUAAUUCCAGAAACGUUGGAUUCUCCCUUUAAAGGACUUGUACAGUUUUCUCGGUAACGCUGCGUCCGGUUUCAGACGAAAUGCAGAUCAGCGCUCAGGUGUGAUCUUGAUUAUAGACCUCACAUCCCUUUACACUUCCAAAAGUGGAAAAGUCAAAAAGUCAAUACAAAUACAUCCCUUUAACUCCAACCACGUCAGACUGGAAUGAAAAAUGAAUUUCUAAAAAAAGAAGAACGUGUAUUCUGAUAUCUGUCCUAGCUGAGAGUCAGACAUUCAGUGUCAAGAUACAAACUGUGGAUCUUCAAAUCCAAAAAUAUGUAGAUUAAUGACGUUCCUUUAAUGACGAUGUAGCUGUAAUUGGUGUCUACCUUUGACCUUUUCAUCUGAGAGGGUACAGGUGAGAUGCUCAGGAUGCAGGUCCGUGCACACUAGAUGAUGCACACUAGAUGAUGCAUACUAGGCCACUUCAUAAAGUCUGCAACAGUGCACAAUCUUCAAUCCAACAACCGAGAUUACAAUCCCGGGUUAAACCCGAGUGUGUGCGGAUUUAAUCCGAGAUAAAUCCAGGUCAGGACAGACAGGACCGAAUGAUGAGGAUGAAGAAGAUGCAGCAGCUUCAUCAUGCCUGGUUCAUCUUUCCAUUUUUUCUCUCUCCGAAUCAUCAACACACCACAUCCCAAAUAUUCAUCCCAUUUUUAAGGCACGGCGCGCGCGUUUCUCCAUCUUUUUCCUUCCUCCAGAUUGUGCUUGAAUUCCAUCUUCUCUCUCUUUUUUUUUUUUUUUUUUUUUUUUUUUUUUUUUUGCUGCUCUGACAAAAUGGACGGCCUCUCUUGCUUUUUUUUCUUAUCUCUCGAGCUCAGUCCGUUUCCACUCCCUUUUAUUUUUCUCCCGCUCCAUUAUCACAUUCUUCCCAUAUGCAAGAAGACAAGAAAACCCUGCAGGAAUGAUAAAUCAGAGAGAAAACGCGUGCAUUCCGGUGAAAGUCUCUGCUUUUUUUUUUUUUCUUAACGCGGUGAUUGAAAUAAAACGCACCCAGAUCGACGGGAUCGGACUGCACACGCUGUAUGCUGGGUAGAGUGGCUCAAAAUCAGCACGCUCGCUCGCACUUGCAUGAUGAAAUCGGAUUGGAUGUCUGAGAACAGCCUGAAAGAAAUUCGUAAUGAAUUACAAUUUACAUGCUAAUAAAGCACUCUGUAUGCUGGGUAGACUAGGUCAAAAUUUUAAGGCUCGCUUAAUUUACAGACUGAAAUCUGAUCUGAUAUCCAAAAG